rnacentral:rRNA from 1 species
GCCUGCGGCCACACCACCUUGAAAAAGCCUGAUCUCAGAAGCUAAGCAACGUUGGACUUGGUUAGUACUUGGAUGGGUGACCACCUGGGAAUAUCAAGUGCUGUAGGCAUU